rnacentral:lncRNA from 1 species
AGCUCCUCAAUCUACGAAUCCAAAAUCAAGAUAUUUUGCUCGAUAUCUUCUACAAUAAUUACAUCUACACAUGAUCAGGAUUAAAUAUAAAAAUCAUAGAGAAUUAAGGACAGUAAAAAAAAUAAAAUUAUAGUGAAUGAUCCUAAUAUCAUAAAUCCAGUAUCUCUCCUAAGAUCGACCAAGAUUGAAAUUUAUCUAAGUAUCUAGACCCUCCAUUGGUCCAUAAGACUUUUAGAGAGAGAAAAUCUAUGAAAAGAGAGAAGAUUUUAGAGAAAAAAAGUAGAGAGAGAAAGUGAAGAGAGAAUCUUCGUAUCCUUCAGAUGAGAUAAUCAUGAUCGAGAUUAUCAAAGGUCAUAUCAAGGUGACUCAAUAUGGAU